rnacentral:rRNA from 1 species
GACGAACGCUGGCGGCGUGCUUAACACAUGCAAGUCGAACGGAAAGGCCCUGCUUUUGUGGGGUGCUCGAGUGGCGAACGGGUGAGUAACACGUGAGUAACCUGCCCUUGACUUUGGGAUAACUUCAGGAAACUGGGGCUAAUACCGGAUAGGAGCUCCUGCUGCAUGGUGGGGGUUGGAAAGUUUCGGCGGUUGGGGAUGGACUCGCGGCUUAUCAGCUUGUUGGUGGGGUAGUGGCUUACCAAGGCUUUGACGGGUAGCCGGCCUGAGAGGGUGACCGGCCACAUUGGGACUGAGAUACGGCCCAGACUCCUACGGGAGGCAGCAGUGGGGAAUAUUGCACAAUGGGCGGAAGCCUGAUGCAGCAACGCCGCGUGCGGGAUGACGGCCUUCGGUUUGUAAACCGCUUUCGCCUGUGACGAAGCGUGAGUGACGGUAAUGGGUAAAGAAGCACCGGCUAACUACGU